GCUCCAAGGGAGGGCUGUCAUUCAAAGUAAUGCCUUCACUGAUUCUCCCACAGCUCAAAAUAUCCUUUGAACUUCUCUUAGAAUUAUCUUUAAGGCUAGCUAACGAGCCACACAAGAAUAGCAGUCUUAUUACAUUAUAAUCACCCUGCAUGCAUGGAAUAAAUAUUCCCUCCUCCCAGGACUUUCAGCAACGGAAAGCUGUGGGUCUCUUUUUACCCUCUUUUGAAGAAGCCCUUUUGGUUUCCAUGUCGGAACCCUGCCAGUCUAGCCACCAGGACUGAAAGCUCAGUGAGGCAAGCUUGAGCUGACAGCUGCUUUUUAAAAAUCCAUGGAAAUGUCUGCAUGGUGUUGUGAUUGAGUCAGGUUUUGCAGAGCCAGCUGCCUACUGCGGUGGCGGUGACUGAAGACUGGAGAUGAGGACCCCUGGUUCACCAUCUGUCUAUGUCUGUCCAGGGCCUCCUCCUCUAGAUGAGGGGCCGUGGAUGCAUCAGGAGCAUCUUCCACUGUAAUCUCCACGCCCCCAGAUUGGCUUCAUCUGAGCAGAGAACUGAUCCUUCCUUGGCAAGCCGGCUGAAGUCUUUUGGCAAAGAAACCAAGAUUCCAGCUCAUCAGAAGUUCUGUCAUCAGUGGCCACUGGCAGAUGGAUGGGGGCUUCUCAGGGUCAAGCAUUUGCACUUGUCCACCUCCACCUCCAAAAUGGAUAUUUAUCAUUGAAAAACAAUCUGCAAGUUGGGAAGAGUAAGGAAACCUCAUGGCAGCAUGAGAUGGAGGAAAGAAAUUGCAUGAGUUUGUAUCUCCACAGAGCUCAUCUGCACACAGGUCUCCUCAUCUUCCCUUCACUCCAACAAAGUUUUGGAAUCCUUGGGGCAAUUUUUCUUACCUUUCUAGAGUUCCAGUUCUACAUUUGCAAAAUGACAGAGACUGGACAAGAUGGUCAGGUUUAUAGCAUGGAUGGCAGAUGUAUAGUGGCAGGUCUCAGUGACAAGUCACUAUAUUCCAUCAAAUAGUAGCCAUGGACAAUCUUGUACUAAUCCAUCUACAUCCACUUUUGGGGGACUGACAGCAUGUGUUUGGACUGUGAAGAGUCAGAAUGAGAGAGAGAUUAUCUCUGGCCCUGGACUAGAGCAAACCCAAUCAACUCCUACAGGCUAGAAUCUCAGACUCAUUAAAAGGAUAGGUCAACCAGCUGAACUCACAAAUUCUGAGAGGUGCCAGAAAACGUAUGCUCUUCUCGGCUGCACAAUCUUGACGCUAAAACAAAAGUAGGGCAGUGUUCUAAAAUGUCAGCUAGUGGAUUUUCCUUGAUAGGUCAUUCCUUUCUAUGUUACAACUCUUUUACCUUUUAAACUAGACCAUGAGGCUGAAGCCAAUUGCCCCUCGACACCCUGGAACCACCUGAGAACCAGGACUUGGAUUGUUUAGCCUUGCAUUCUUGGAAGCCUAGGCUUGCUAUUGUAGGAGUCGGAACUCAUUGUGACAGUUUUACACUGUUGUUUUAAUAUCAAAUGUCUAGCUUUGAUUGUCAAGUGAAAAGAAUUUAUGCCACAGUCCAGAGAAGGAGGGAAUGUGUAAAGUGGUAGAGGCAGUUUUCCCAUCACAGAGAGGUGAGAGAAGAUCUUUUUUCAGUCUGUGGGCAG
ensembl:lncRNA